ACUUCACAGUUCACACACACAACACAAAAAAUAUAGUACACCAGUCAAGUCAAGCCCUCUCUCUCAUUCUUUGUAACAAUGCUAAUGAAUUUCUUUUCACACCAUGUGUGUCUCACUCACUGUCUCCUCCCCAAAUUAGUAAUCUUUUUUUUAUUUUUCUUUCAAGUUGAUGAUAGCUUUAGAAGUGUGAAGCGUUUGGUAUAGAGCACAGUGAGUGAACUCUGAAAAACUAUUUACCUUUUUGCUGUUUGUUUUCCACUUUGGAACUUGCAUGUCUGAAAAAUUGAAAGUUUUCACACUCUUGUUGGUUCUUCGCUGGAACCACGCACGACACUUUCAUGCAACCCGAAUCAUUUUAUUUUUAUUUUCUCUCAC
rnacentral:misc_RNA from 1 species